rnacentral:rRNA from 1 species
GCAGUAGCCGCGGGAAUACGAGGGGGGCAAGCGUUGUUCGGAAUUAUUGGGCGUAAAGGGCGCGUAGGCGGCGAUCAAAGUCAGGCGUGAGAUUCCUGGGCUCAACCUGGGGGCUGCGUUUGAUACUUGAUUGCUAGAGUGGGGAAGAGGGUCGCGGAAUUCCCAGUGUAGAGGUGAAAUUCGUAGAUAUUGGGAAGAACACCGGUGGCGAAGGCGGCAACCUGGUCCAUAACUGACGCUGAGGCGCGAAAGCGUGGGGAGCAAACAGGAUUAGAUACCCCGGUAGUCCCUGUCUCUUAUAC